rnacentral:tRNA from 1 species
GCCCGAGUGGCGAAAUUGGUAGACGCAGCGGACUUAAAAUCCGCCGACCUUAACCGGUCGUGCCGGUUCGACCCCGGCCUCGGGCACCA